CCUACGGGUGGCUGCAGUGGGGAAUAUUGGACAAUGGGCGAAAGCCUGAUCCAGCCAUGCCACGUGUGUGAAGAAGGCCUUCGGGUUGUAAAGCACUUUCAGUGGGGAAGAAAGCCUUGGGGCUAAUACCCUCGAGGAAGGACAUCACCCACAGAAGAAGCACCGGCUAACUCCGUGCCAGCAGCCGCGGUAAUACGGAGGGUGCGAGCGUUAAUCGGAAUUACUGGGCGUAAAGCGCGCGUAGGCGGUCUGAUAAGCCGGUUGUGAAAGCCCCGGGCUCAACCUGGGAACGGCAUCCGGAACUGUCAGGCUAGAGUGCAGGAGAGGAAGGUAGAAUUCCCGGUGUAGCGGUGAAAUGCGGAGAGAUCGGGAGGAAUACCAGUGGCGAAGGCGGCCUUCUGGACUGACACUGACGCUGAGGUGCGAAAGCGUGGGUAGCAAACAGGAUUAGAUACCCUUGUAGUC
rnacentral:rRNA from 1 species